GUUGGGCUGUUCGCCCAUUAAAGCGGUACGCGAGCUGGGUUCAGAACGUCGUGAGACAGUUCGGUCCCUAUCCGGCGCGGGCGGAGGAUAUUUGAGAGGAGCUGCCCCUAGUACGAGAGGACCGGGGUGGACGGACCACUGGUGUAUCAGCUGUCGACCAACGGCAUAGCUGAGUAGCCAAGUCUGGACGGGAUAAACGCUGAAGGCAUCUAAGCGUGAAGCCCCCCUCAAGAUGAGAUAUCCCCUCCUUCAAGGAGAUAAGAUCCCUUAAAGACGAUAAGGUAGAUAGGUUCAAGGUGUAAGUGCGGUAACGCAUUCAGCUGAUGAAUACUAAUAGAUCGAAGGUUUAUUCU
rnacentral:rRNA from 1 species